rnacentral:lncRNA from 1 species
GGUGGCUACAGCUCCGAUUCAACCCCUAGCCUGGGAACAUCCAUAUGCCACUUGAGUGGCCCAAGAAAUAGCAACAAUAACAACAACAACAACAACAAGAACACCACAAAAGACAAAAAAAAAAAAAGAAAUAAUUACGUUAAGUAAUUGUCAAUAUGUUAGGCAUAUAGGGAGUGGCAGCAAAUAGUAGACUCAUGUAAAUUUGUCCCGUUUUGCUGAGGGCCUUGAAUGCUGUCUCAUGGAGUUUAGGUUCUGUUCUGAUGCCUUAAUUACAUUCAUUUUCUUGGUGAAUAUUUAAAUUAUUUCAUUUGAGACAAAGAAUUCUUUUUUGUUUUUUUCUUUGUAUGGCUGUGGCACAUGGAAGUCCCAGGCUAGGGAUUGAAUUGGAGCUGCAGCUGCUGGCCUACACCACAGCACCACCAGGAUCCGAGCUGAGUCUCUGACCUACACCACAGCUCGCGGCAACUUCAGAUCCUUAACCCACUGAGCAAGACCAGGGAUUGAACCCUCAUCCUCAUGGAUACUAGUCACAUUCAUUUCCACUGAACCACAGUGGGAACUCCCUCCAUUAUUUUUUAUAUCAUCGAAAUGAAAUUGUCUUUUUGAGCCAAGUAACAUAAUGUACUAAGAACACAGAGUAUUUCAAGAGGAUUGUAUUUGUCUCUAAAGUUCAAAAUGUAGAACUUAAGAGACUUCACCAUCUUAACCAUUUUUAGAGUGUACAUUAUAGUACAGUAGUGCUAACUGUAGGCAACUUGUACAGUAGAUCUCUAGAACUUUUUUGUCUGGCAAAACUGAAAUUCUAGACCCAUCGAAUAGCAACUGGUCUUUGCCUCUCUCCUCCCAGCCCCUGGCAACUGUCAUUGUACUUUCUGGUUCUGAGAGUUUGACUACUUCAGGUACCUCAUGUAGGUGGAAUCAUACAGUUAUUUGUCUUUUUGUGACUGGCUCAUUCUUCUUGAUGUCAUGUCCUCGAAGUUCAUCCAUAUGGUAGCAUGUAAUAGGAUUUCCUUCUUGUCUAAAAGACUGAAAAAUAUUCCGUUGUAUGUACCACAUUUUCUUUAUCCAUGCAUCCUAUAUUUAUCCAUUCAUCCUUUGUUAGGUACUUAGGUUGCUUCCAACUCUUGGUUAUUGUGAUUAAUGCUCAAUGAACAUGAGUGUGCAAAUUUUUCUUCAAGAUCCUGUUUUCAGUUCUUUUGAGUAUAUACUCAGAAGUGGGAUUGCCGGAUCAUAUGAUGAUUCUGUUUUUAAUUUUUUGAGGAACUGCCAUUCUGUUUUCUAGAGUGGCUGUGCCAUUUUGCAUUC